UACGUAGGCAGCAAGCGUUGUUCGGAGUUACUGGGCGUAAAGGGUGCGUAGGCGGCUAUUUAAGUUUUGGUGUGAAAUCUCCCGCUCAACUGGGAGGGUGCGCCGAAUACUGAGUGGCUAGAGUGCGGGAGAGGAAAAUGGAAUUCCUGGUGUAGCGGUGAAAUGCGUAGAUAUCAGGAGGAACACCGGUGGUGUAAACGGCUUUCUGGACCGUAACUGACGCUGAGGCACGAAAGCGUGGGUAGCAAACAGG
rnacentral:rRNA from 1 species